UCGGAUGUGGUGCACGGUGCACGCCCACUGUUCCUAGACGUUUCUCAUUCUGACUGUUAUAUGGGGAGCCUGGGUUCGACUCCCAGCGUCCGGA